GAUUAAGUUAUUAAGGGCGCACGGUGGAUGCCUUGGCACUAGAAGCCGAUGAAGGACGUUACUAACGACGAUAUGCUUUGGGGAGCUGUAAGUAAGCUUUGAUCCAGAGAUUUCCGAAUGGGGAAACCCAGCAUGAGUUAUGUCAUGUUAUCGAUAUGUGAAUACAUAGCAUAUCAGAAGGCACACCCGGAGAACUGAAACAUCUUAGUACCCGGAGGAAGAGAAAGAAAAUUCGAUUCCCUUAGUAGCGGCGAGCGAAACGGGAAGAGCCCAAACCAACAAGCUUGCUUGUUGGGGUUGUAGGACACUCUAUACGGAGUUACAAAGGACGACAUUAGACGAAUCAUCUGGAAAGAUGAAUCAAAGAAGGUAAUAAUCCUGUAGUCGAAAAUGUUGUCUCUCUUGAGUGGAUCCUGAGUACGACGGAGCACGUGAAAUUCCGUCGGAAUCUGGGAGGACCAUCUCCUAAGGCUAAAUACUCUCUAGUGACCGAUAGUGAACCAGUACCGUGAGGGAAAGGUGAAAAGCACCCCGGAAGGGGAGUGAAAUAGAA
rnacentral:rRNA from 1 species